rnacentral:lncRNA from 1 species
CUUCUGAGACCAGUGCCUGCAAGUAUGGAGCCAGGCCUCCUCUUGCAGACUGACUCAUCAGGCAUAGUUACUUGGAACUUGGUGUUAAGGAGGGUUCUGAGGCAGAGUUCCGGCUCCGUGGGAAAGACUGCUGUGAUUGAUUAGCCACGCUCUCUGGGUAUGGGAAGGGGUGAGAGUGGGAAGGCAGCCUUUAGGUCCAGCCCCCACCCGCCCCCUCCAGACAGGAAAACUAAGCCCCUGGGAGGGCCAUGGAUCCCCCAAAGGCAUGUUCCACUAAGGGCAGGAAAGCUGCCAGCCUGGGAAGCUGUCUUGAGGUCCUGACAACCCUGGGGUUUGACAUCUUGGCCUGCAGGGCCUGACUUUCUCAGGAGCAGCUCAUGCCUCCAGGCAGUGACAGAGCAUCCCGGGCCACAGGCCCCUUUUGGAAAUGACAGGAAUGAAGAAGGAGCCCUGGUUGGCUCAGCAUGUGCAGGAAACCAGCAAGGAGCAGGUUACAGCAAAGCCCUGAAGAAGCUGAUGGGGCCUGAUUCCUGUGUCACAGCUCCAGGUCGGGGUGGGACCACCUGACAGCCAGUGAUCUUCUGACUGCCCGUCACACUUGGUUUUCCACUGGUGACGCUCCUGGAGGUGCAGCUUCCGUAUCCCUCACUGCCCUGUCCACCCCCAUGUGUCGGGAGGUCAGCAGCACACCGGCAGCGUCGUGAGCACAACCUGGCCCGGGAGGGGAUGGCGGCCCUGCUCGGUGCUCACUGGUGCCGGGUUUUGCAACGCUGUGCCUCGUGCACUUGCCUGGAUCCGUGGGAGGGCUCUCCCUGGAGCUGCCCGCAACCCCUCUGGAGCAGCCUGAGCAGGGAGGAUCUGACAUGUGAGCCCAUCCUGGGAGUCCAGCACCUACCAGCUGGACUUGCCUCCAGGUCCUUCCAAGUAGCCUUCAACAAAGCCAGGUGUUUGAGAGUCUCAUCCUUGGGGCUCGGGGAUCUGGGUUUGAGUCCCAGCCCUGCUAUGCUCCCUGCACGGCUGUGGGUGAGUUAUGAGCCUCAGUUUCUUGUGUAUAAAAUGGGCAGAGUAACUUACCUCACAUGUAAGCCUGGGGAGGAGACAGAGGCAUUGAGGAGAGGCAGCCCCAGGUCUUCAGAGGAAGGAAGAAGCCCACCAGUCCCUGCACCACUCGAGGGUCAGUGGGAUCCAGAGCAAAGGGCUGGAGCUUUGGGGAAGGUGGGCUUGCUGGAACCCCAGAUGGCCUCUCCAUCUGAGCAACUUUGAGCAAGUGACAUCAUCCUCUCAGGGCUGAUUCCCCAUCUCCAAAGUGCGCACAGUCACUCCUGACUUUUGGGGUGGUUGUGUGGGUUUGGUCCAGGGUAAUCUAUUUAAAACACUGAGAACUUAAACACUGAAGUGACCUAGAAGCGAAAAUGGGCUGUAGUUAGAGAAGAGCGCGGCUGCUUUAGCAGGGACAGGCAGCUUCUCCUCGUGUUUACCAUGGGGGCUCUGUUGAGGGCCACAGCCGAGUCGGGAUGACGCAUGGCAUUUUUGCCAGAAGUAGUGGUUGAGAGGUGACACCAGCGAGCCAUUAAGAUGAUGACUUUUGAGUUCUCGCAGAGUUCCCGUUGAGUUCCGGUUGAGCUCUCGCAGGGAUUCCUGAAGAGUUCGCGUUGGUUGGUGAAGUUCCGGUGGAGGGAGUUCCGGUUGGUGUGUGGUGUGUUCCUGAAGGAGCCGCGUGGGUGGCGUUCGGGAGAGUUCCCGGGGAGUGUGCUGGUGGAGUUUGGAAAUAAAGUUUGUUCCUGCUUGAGUGGCUCGUGAUUUGUGCCCAGCCAGACUGUGGCAGGACUCCAGGGAAUCCAGCAGACCUACCCCUGGGGGCGCACUCCAAGAACUGGAAACCGUGAGCACAAAACCCAGCGUGAAUGUUCUUAGCAGCAACUUGCUCUGUAUAGCCAGCAACCCAUAGUCUGGGUGAUGGGUCAACAAGAGGUGGUCAUCCUGUAGUGGCACGUAACUUGUCCAUGAAAAGGAGAGAGUGCUGUCACCUUCACCAGCCAGGAGAAGCUGGAAACCAUCAAGCCAAGCAAGAGAACUUAAUCACAAAAGGCCACAUGAAGGAUUCCAUUUCUGUGAAAUGUUCAGAGUGGGCAAAUCCACAGGGACACCGUAGACCAGCAGAUGUCUAGGGAAACAGGAAGAUUGGGGCAGGUGCAGGCCACAUAAGUCAGGGGGUUUCCUUUGGGGUAAAUAUUCAAAGUUGAUUGUGGUGAAAAACCCCAGAGUUGAAUGUUUUUAAUGUAUAAAUUCAUACACUUUAAACUUAUAAACUCACAAUAAAGCUAUUUUUUUAAAAAUAGGGUCAUACUGAAUCAUUUUCAAAUACAGCAUUCCAGGCAAGAUCUUUGGUUGUAUGAGCAAUUUUUCUGAUUAUAUCCUAAUGAAGAGGAGGACAGAUUCCUAUUGAAUAUAUGCAAAUAGCCACAUAACUCCAUCCUGAGGAGGGAGACUCAGGAGAGGUUCUGAAGUCAGGAUUAAAAGCCAAGUCAUUGUUAUACAAAAUUACAUAUAAGAGGUUGUGAGGGGAAUGGGAAAAUAAACAAGGAG